AAUUUAAUUUUAAAUUAUUUUUUCAGCAGCAGUUUCAAUAACAAUGCCAGACAAACUCUUAUUUUACAAUUUAUUUAUAUGUAUACAUAAUUAAUUUUAUAUUUUUGCCUACCGUUUAAAGUAAGCGAUUUAUACUAAAUUUUAUUUAUAUAUAGAUGUAAUUUUUUUUAAUUUAUAUAAAUAUAUGUGUUUUAUGCUUCGCCUGACAAAUUUUUUAGAUUUGCUACUGAUUUUACACAUGAGAGUUUUUGCACCAAUCCAGCUAUAGCUAUCAACUAUAAGUGCCCAUCAAGUAAUUCAUUAUCAUCAUCUUAUUAGUUUUCAGUUAUGAUUCAUAGACAUAUAAAUGAUUUUAUUAUAAUCAUUUAUUAUUGUAAGACUCAUGUGGAUCUCAUCAAAAUCAACGGUUAAAAUCUCAUCAUAAUCAACGAUUAAAAUCUAUCGAUUAUAUAUAUUGUAUUGAAUAAUUUUUAUGUUUGCACCGACCUCAACGUGCCUUAUUCCAUUGUAAGAAUCUGCCUAAUUGCAUUGUUUUAACCUUAGAAUACAAGCUUUCAUCAAUUUUUCACUCCAUUGAAUGCAUCACAAACUGAAAAGCAAGAACCAAAUAUGGUUAAACUAACUGGGGAAUUGGGUUCAUGGAAAUAAAGAUCAAUAAGAAAUAACAUUGACGUCUUCUUCCACAAGCAUAUCAUCAAUAUCAUAGUAAUUUCUCAUUCUUGAUGCUUUCUUUUAUCAGUCUUUGUAGCAAUUGAAUAUCUCAAAUCUGUGAAUAUAUGUUGAAAGUUCAGGCUGCAAAUUGACAUAGAAACACAUAUAAAUAACACUUGAUACACCCACACAAAUACUUGCAUAUAUAUAGUUUCGCAAACAGGUUCUCAUACACGAGAAAUUAACUAGAAUAGUAGUAAUUGAAGCAAUUUGACAAACAAUUGGUGAGCUUUGAACUAAUGAUUUCUAUUUGUAAACCCAUAUGCACAUACAUAAAUCAAACGCCAUCAUCAAUCUUAUCAAUAACAUAAAAAGGUUAAAAAUUUCAGAAACUUUCCAUUACAAAGUUUAAAACAUGGCCAUGAAUGGGCGAUUUGGCAGUGUUCAAAAAGUUAUGCCAAGUCUGAAACUGAAGGAAAAGGAAAGUUAUGAAGCUAGAAUAAAUCCCACAUCGAAAAAAUAAGAAGGAAAGGUAAACGAUAACGCCUAUAACUAAGAAGCAAGAAGCAUCAUAAAACAUACUUACCUGGACGGGGUCAAUGGGUGAUCAAGAAGGCUCAUGGCCUAGGUCAGUGACUUCCAUUGCACUUGGGAGGGGUGCUGUCCUAAGGUCUCCCCAAGUGGGAGAGCCUACGUCAUAAUUUGUGGCAGUGGGGGCCUGCGUUCGCGCGGCCCCUUCCAAUCUUACUGUCAAAGGUUGUUCUGUUCAAUUGUCCAUCUUAACGUGGGCUUAAUUUCUGUUUCUCUUCUAUUUUCCAUGUUAAAAGUGGGCUUAGGUCUGGUUCUCUAUAAAGACCACGAGCAAGUUUGCGCGUGGCUUAGUUUCGUGGGUAGGAAUGAUAAUAGAGAACUUUUGCAAAGAUUAUUGAAACCUAAAUUUAAUAAACAAA
rnacentral:misc_RNA from 1 species